CUGCACAAUCAAUUCUACAAAGACCUGCAUGGAUGCAGACCUAAACUCAUCUGGUUGUUCAGAGAGAAGUCCACCCAGACUGGCAAGAUAGCGGAAGAGCUAGCCAAGCUCAUGAUCAUUUAUGACCUUCAGGAACAGCGUGAUGUAAAUAUGAGACGGGCCCUUGUCCUUCUUGCGCUUCCUGUGAACCUGCGUGAAGAUUCCUCCAACUUCUUCAAGACCUGUAAUUCAGCUGAUGGUCCAGACCUCACAGCUGGCUCUCCUGAAUGUCGCCUCAGUUGACACUUUUG